rnacentral:rRNA from 1 species
AUACGGAGGGAGCAAGCGUUAUUCGGAAUCACUGGGCGUAAAGGACGCGUAGGCGGGUUUGUAAGUCAGGUGUGAAAUCCUACAGCUCAACUGUAGAACUGCACUUGAAACUACAGACCUAGAGUAUGGAAGGGGCAGAUGGAAUUAGUGGUGUAGGGGUAAAAUCCGUAGACAUCACUAGGAAUACCGAAAGCGAAGGCGAUCUGCUGGGACAUUACUGACGCUGAGGCGUGAAAGCGUGGGGAGCAAACAGGAUUAGAAACCCCAGUAGUCC